ensembl:lncRNA
CAAGAACACUAACGUGGAAAAGUACAGGCCUGUCUAUAAUCUAAUUUAGUCUCAAUCAAAGCAACAGUUUAGUCUCGAUCAAGGUAACCUUACAUGAUUAGAACUCAUUUCCAGGACCAUGAAGCUUUGGUUUCCUGAUUUUUCACAGCAAAUUGCUUUGUGACCUUGAACAAGUUUUUAAGUCUCGCUUCUUCUAAAAUAGUAACAAAACUGGCAUAUCUGAAGACUCUCCUGAGGUGUUCUUGGAAUUGAGUUUCUUAAACAGCAUUGAGAGACUCAGAGAGUCAGUGCAGAGGGAUGGGACAGAGAGCCAAAUCAUCUCAGUAUCUUCCUGCUUCUUUCAUCAAAAUCACUGUAGUCCAAGUUACCAUCAUUUCAUCUGAACUACUGAAAUAGUCACUACAAAGGCUUCCUGGACCUAAUUCCAAUGUAUGUGUGUGUGGAGGCUUCCCCACACCAACAAGCAGUUCUUGGACACCAACAGAGUGUCAGAAAACUCAAUUCUGAUACUAUCUACCUGAGGUAGAAUCAGAUUCCACAGCUUGGUGGUAGACAGCUGAAGCCUUACUGGCCUGAGGCAUCAGAGGACAGAAUCUGAAGCUGGAAGAGCAGCUAAAAUUUAAGAGAAGAACUCCCAAAAGCAACAUGAUCCUGGAGAGGAACCUUCUAGAAUCAGCUGUUUGCAGCUACCUCCCCCCUAAGACUGUGAGGGCAGGGACGGUGGCCUACUCAUAUUUGAAUUCCUAUGGUAAGUAAUUUGUCUGACACAUAGAAGGCUUUGAGGAGAUAAACAAAUAUUCAAAACCUACCAGAGAUGGAGCCGAUAUGAUAGAAUUUGGCUCCAGCAAACCUAGGCAUAGCUCCCCACUUUCAAAUCAUCCUUCAAAAGCCAGGGCAGGCACUCUCCUCUGGUCUGCAUGGUGUCCCAGCAUGCCCCUUUUUGGGCAGUCUUCCCAGUGGGCUCAGUAUUCCGCAUAUUGAAUACUUUCUCCAGUCACUGCUGCCUAUGGUCCCUGUAAGAUAGCAAAAAUGAGCAAGAGUUUUCUUCACUCACACUCAGUGAGGGGUCUCAGUCCCACUCUCAUUGCCUGGUUCUACUCCAGUUCUUCCUGUUCUUAGGCAGACGACAAAAUAGAUAGCUGAUGGAUAAGAGAGGGGAUGAAGGAUAGGAAGGGUGAGAGGGAGAAUGUGGACUCUCACAUUCUUUCUAAUAUAGCACUCAUUACCUCUUUCAACUCUAAUGAUCACAUCUUGAAUGGCAAUAACAGUACUAGGCAGCCUCAUGUACUGGAGUAAAGGACAACACUAUGACUUGGUGUUAGAGAGAACAAGGCCAUAAGCAAAGUCAGAGAGGAAGCUGUUACAGGAACCCAGCUUGGGCUAAAUGUGACCUAGAACAAGGUAGAGACAAUAGAAUUGUGGGGAAGUAGAUGAAUUUGGGAAAUAUGUAGGAGAUAGAAAGUAAGGAGUUGAGUCCUGGAUGAGCCUAUGUUUCUGGCUUAGACAGUUGCAUGCUUGGCUAUGAUAUUUAUCACCGAAGAUCGCUGAAGAAAGAACACAUUUUCAGAGUAAUAAAGAUGAAUAUAGGGUAAAAAUUAAUCAUUUUAAUGGUUCUACUCUGAAUUCUGGUCUCAACACACAAUCGGGCAUUCAAUGUUAACUGGUAACUUUUGUGUAUUUUCUGCGUCAGGCUUAGAUCACAUUCUCCGUGGUGACACCAUCAAACAUUCACUUCUCUCCUCAGACCUGGAUCUGGAAACACCCCACUCCUGCUCCCCCCACCCUCAGAAUCAUCCCAGAGACAAAGCACUUUCUCCACUUUUCAAAGAAAACAGAAACAAUCAGAGAGAGUCCUCCACCCUCUCUACCCUUUCUGUCAUCCCCACUUCCAAUCAUUCUCCAUUCUGUUUGCUUCAAGAUUAUCUUUUGAAUCUCUCCAUUUCUCUCUCUUCCACUAUCACACUAUCGCUCGCCUCACCCGAUCAUUAUUGUCUCUCACCUUGAUUUGUGCAACAGCCUGCUUCCAGGACCCCAGAGUCCUCUCUUGACUCUCUCCAUUCCAUCCUCAACGUUGAACCAGAAUGGUCUUUCAAAACUGCACAUCAAAUGAUGUCACACCUUUGCUUACCACUUCCCAAUGGCUUAUUAACCUCACUUCACAAUGCAGCUCUCUUACUUCUCUAGUUUUGUAUCUUACCAUGUCUCCCUGUUCUCUUCACACUGAUUCAAUUCUUAAAAUGCAUCACAUUUCUUAUAACCUUCGGAUAUUUACAUAUGC